rnacentral:misc_RNA from 1 species
GAUGAAGAACGCAGCGAAAUGCGAUAAGUAAUGUGAAUUGCAGAAUUCAGUGAAUCAUCGAAUCUUUGAACGCACAUUGCGCCCGCUAGUAUUCUGGCGGGCAUGCCUGUCCGAGCGUCAUUUCAACCCUCAAGCCCCCGGGCUUGGUGUUGGGGAUCGGCGAGCCUCCGCGCCCGCCGUCCCCUAAAUCUAGUGGCGGUCUCGCUGUAGCUUCCUCUGCGUAGUAGCACACCUCGCACUGGGAAACAGCGCGGCCACGCCGUUAAACCCCCAACUUCUGAACGUUUGACCUCGGAUCAGGUAGGAAUACCCGCUGAACUUAAGCAUAUCAAUAAGCGGAGG